AUUCACAGGGCUGGGCUGUUAGCGUGCAGGGGUUCUAGCUCUCAGGUAAGUACAGUGUUCGAUACACAGGUAAGUAUUCACAGGGCUGAGCUGUUAGCGUGCAGGGGUUCUAGCUCUCAAUGUAAGUACAGUGUUCCAUACACAGGUGGGUAUUCACAGGGCUGAGCUGUUAGCGUGCAGGGGUUCUAGCUCUCAAUGUAAGUACAGUGUUCCAUACACAGGUAAGUAUUCACAGGGCUGAGCUGUUAGCGUGCAGGGGUUCUAGCUCUCAAUGUAAGUACAGUGUUCCAUACACAGGUGGGUAUUCACAGGGCUGAGCUGUUAGCGUGCAGGGGUUCUAGCUCUCAAUGUAAGUACAGUGUUCCAUACACAGGUGAGUAUUCACGGGGCUGGGCUGUUAAUGCGCUACUCACCACUGAAGAUAUUCAGAGGUCUGUAUUCCAAGCAGAUACGGGUUUAGUCGAUGACUGACGGCUGGUGGGCCUUACAGGUGAAACUGCAAACAAUACUGGGCUUCCCGCCCAGCUUG